CAGGGGGGUCCUUCACUGUAAGUCUGAGAUAAAAAGCUGAGCUCUAAGCUUGUGUUGACUGAUCAGGCCUCCAGAGAUCAGCUUCUCAAAAUGAGGCUCCCUGCUCAGCUUGUGGGGCUGCUAAUGCUCUGCAUCCCUGGAUCCAGUGGGGAUAUUGUGAUGACCCAGACUCCAAACUUCCUCUCCAAGAGCCCUGGAGAGCCAGCCUCCAUCGCCUGCAGGUCCAGUCAGAGCGUUGCUGGUAGCUAUAGUACCUACUUGCAUUGGUACCUACAGAAGCCAGGCCAAUCCCCACAGCUUCUAGUCUAUGAGGUUUCCAACAGAGCCACUGGAGUCCCAGACAGGUUCAGUGGCAGUGGGUCAGGGACAGAUUUCACACUGAAAAUCAGCAGAGUGGAAGCUGAAGAUGCUGGAGUUUAUUUCUGUCAACAAAGUUUGCAAUAUCCUCCCACAGUGAUACAGCCCCUUACAUAAACCUCCCUGUGUAGGGCUGACAGCUAUCAUCUGUGCUGCUUUUCUAUGCCUCCAAGUCGCCUUGAAGGUAGAUUCUGGGGAACUCAGAGUGAUGGGUUGCUGCUGCAUCACUCAUUUUCUUCAGACAAAGACUACUCUUCUGCAGCAGACUUGGGUGGCAGAAGCAUUAGGAGACUGAUGUCGUCCAUGUGCCUGGUAUCUUUGAGCAACUGACUGUCAGGGUUUUUGUCUGUGUCCCCCAGGCCUCAUGAGUUUAAAUUGUGCAUUUGUUAUUCGUUCAGUGUCUAGUGCUUGGAUUGAUGGUGUCAGUGCUCCACCCACAAAGGGGUGGAGCCAGGAUGUGAUGUAAUGGCAGGAAGCAGGUGUGUCUUGCUCUCUUUGCUGGUUCAAGCUUGCUGUCAGUGGCUGCCAUGAGCUGCGGUCCAGCCAUGCCCGCCUUACUUGGAGCCAACUGAGUGUGGACUGAAACCUCAAAAAAAACUAUAAGAAAUAAACCUCUCCUUUCCCAACUUGGGCAUCAGGUAUUUUGUCUCAGCGACGAGCAUAAAUUGACUAAGACACUGACCAAGAGGACAGACAGAUGUCAGUGACAGCUCAUUCUAGUCUUGCCUGCCUGCCUCAGCUGUCAAGAAAUUCUGUCAGUGUGACAUCUGACCACUUCUGAAGAUUCCUGAGAAGUUCCAUACAUGUAGAAAAUUACCUCUCUGCACUGUAAUUUUCAGAUAUUAAUACAGGGAAAUACUAAGAAAUGAUUUUAGCCAAAUCUUUAAUGUCCACACACCUUAUGCUCAGGGAGAAGAUGACUGAGAAUAAUAAAUAAAUCAUAUAUGAGUAUCAAAGAAUUCUUUUGUAAAUUAUUUGU